CAUGAUGGACUAUAGGACAGGACUGCUUCUUCUAACUGUCUGCUGGGCAGGUGUUGAUGGUCAGACUCUGACAGAAUCUGAACCAGCAGUUAAAAGUCCUGGAGGAACUCACAGAUUGACCUGUACAGCCUCUGGAUUUAGCUUUGGUGGCUCUUGGAUGGCCUGGAUCAGACAGGCUCCUGGUAAAGGACUGGAGUGGGUUGCUACUGAUGGUGGUGGUAGCAACCAGUACUACUCUCAGUCAGUCAGAGGGCGGUUUACCAUCUCCAGAGACAACAGCAGACAGCAGCUGUAA